UACAGAGGUCCCAAGCGUUGUUCGGAAUUACUGGGCGUAAAGCGUGCGUAGGCGGCGGGGUAAGUCGGGUGUGAAAUCUCAGGGCUCAACCCUGAAAUUGCAUUCGAUACUGCUUCGCUUGAGCUCUGAAGAGGAGGUUGGAAUUUACGGUGUAGCAGUGAAAUGCGUAGAUAUCGUAAGGAAGGCCGGUGGCGAAAGCUAACCUCUGGGCAGCAGCUGACGCUGUGGCACGAAGGCUAGGGGAGCAAACGGG
rnacentral:rRNA from 1 species